rnacentral:rRNA from 1 species
UACGGGGGGGGCAAGCGUUGUUCGGAAUUACUGGGCGUAAAGGGCUCGUAGGCGGCCAACUAAGUCAGACGUGAAAUCCCUCGGCUUAACCGGGGAACUGCGUCUGAUACUGGAUGGCUUGAGGUUGGGAGAGGGAUGCGGAAUUCCAGGUGUAGCGGUGAAAUGCGUAGAUAUCUGGGGGAACACCGGUGGCGAAGGCGGCAUCCUGGACCAAUUCUGACGCUGAGGAGCGAAAGCCAGGGGAGCAAACGGGG